GACGAACGCUGGCGGCGUGCCUAAUACAUGCAAGUCGAACGAGAGCGACCGGUGCUUGCACUGGUCAAUCUAGUGGCGAACGGGUGAGUAACACGUGGGUAACCUGCCCAUCAGAGGGGGAUAACAUCCGGAAACGGAUGCUAAAACCGCAUAGGUCUUCGAGCCGCAUGGCUUGAAGAGGAAAAGAGGCGCAAGCUUCUGCUGAUGGAUGGACCCGCGGUGCAUUAGCUAGUUGGUGAGGUAACGGCUCACCAAGGCCGUGAUGCAUAGCCGACCUGAGAGGGUGAUCGGCCACAUUGGGACUGAGACACGGCCCAAACUCCUACGGGAGGCAGCAGUAGGGAAUCUUCCGCAAUGGACGCAAGUCUGACGGAGCAACGCCGCGUGAGUGAAGAAGGUUUUCGGGUCGUAAAACUCUGUUGUUAGAGAAGAACAAGUGCUAGAGUAACUGUUAGCGCCU
rnacentral:rRNA from 1 species